rnacentral:rRNA from 1 species
AAAAAUCCGCCCUCGGCCUUUUUCCACAAAAACAGGCUCCUUUGCUUUCCCGGCGGAUAAGGUCUGGGACCUGCCCGGAUGAUCUGACGGGUUAAACGGUUCGCCCUACACCGACCGUGCAAAGGUUGCACAAUCACUUCCCUUAGAGUUGGAGGCUGGUAUGGAUCGUUUGACGAGGGCUGAGCUGUCUCUUUCGGCAUAUUUGACAAUCAACUUCUAGGUGAAAAGGCCUAGAAUCGAGCUGAGGGACGAGACCACCCUGUCGAGCUUUAGUGUUGAAUAAAGGUUUCUAUUUCCUACUUGAAUUCAGAGGUUUCAGUUCAUUCUUACAUCUUUAGUUGGGGUGACUGGGGAACAAAAGUACCUCCUCUACUUAUUAUUGGGUUGGGCCUGCCAGCUAAUGAUCCGGCAUUGCUCAUUAUGGGCAAAAGUUACCACCAGGGAUACAGCGUACCCUUGGAGGACAAGUCAUAUCGAAACAAGGGUCCGCGACCUCCAAGUGGGAUUAAGGUGCCCUAAGGGUGUAGCACCUCCUGUUGGGGUUGGCCUCGUUCCGACCAGUAAAAACCUUUCAUGAUCUUGAAGGUCCCAACCGGGUU